GACGAACGCUGGCGGCGUGCUUAACUCAUGCAAGUCGAACGGAAAGGCCCCCACCUUGGUGGGGGUGCUCGAGUGGCGAACGGGUGAGUAACACGUGGGUGAUCUGCCCUGUACUUCGGGAUAAGCUUGGGAAACUGGGUCUAAUACCGGAUAGGACCAUGGUUUAGUGUCUCAUGGUGGAAAAAUUAUUGUUUUGGUGCAGGAUGAGCUCGCGGCCUAUCAGCUUGUUGGUGGGGUAAUGGCCUACCAAGGCGUCGACGGGUAGCCGGCCUGAGAGGGUGGACGGCCACAUUGGGACUGAGAUACGGCCCAGACUCCUACGGGAGGCAGCAGUGGGGAAUAUUGCACAAUGGGCGCAAGCCUGAUGCAGCGACGCCGCGUGGGGGAUGACGGCCUUCGGGUUGUAAACUCCUUUCGUUAGGGACGAAGCCACACCUUUUUUGGGUGUGGUGACGGUACCUUUGUUAAGAAGCACCGGCUAACUACGUG
rnacentral:rRNA from 1 species